AUGAUUGUAGCUAACACCCUCUUUAGAAAGAGAGAAUCACAUCUGGUGACUUUUAGUAGUGGCCAACACUCUAGCCAGAUUGAUUUCAUCCUCUCGAGAAGAGAAGAUAGGCGUGCGUGCCUAGACUGUAAGGUGAUACCUGGGGAGAGUGUUGUACCCCAACAUAAGCUGGUGGUUGCUGACUUCCGCUUUCGGAUUCGUGUCCAGCGGGAUAAGCGUGCCAAGGUUGCUAGAACGAAGUGGUGGAAGCUCAAGGGGGAGGUAGCUCAAGUGUUCAAGGAGAGGGUAUUUAAGGAGGGCCCUUGGGAGGAAGGAGGGGAUGCGGACAAUGUGUGGAUGAAGAUGGCGACUUGCAUUCGUAAGGUGGCCUCGGGGGAGUUUGGAGUGUCCAGGGGAAGGAGAAGCGAAGAUAAGGAUACCUGGUGGUGGAAUGAUGAUUUCCAGAAGGCGCUUAAAGAGAAGAAAGAUUGCUUCAGACGCCUAUACCUGGAUAGGAGUGCAGACAACAUAGAGAAGUACAAGAUGGCGAAGAAGGCCGCAAAGCGAGCUGUUGGUGAAGCAAGGGGUCGGGCAUAUGAGGACCUCUACCAAUGGUUAGGCACGAAGGAAGGUGAAAGGGACAUCUAUAAGAUGGCUAAGAUCCGGGAGAGGAAGACGAGGGAUAUUGGCCAAGUCAAAUGCAUCAAGGACGGAGCAGGCCAACUCUUGGUGAAGGAUGAAGAGAUUAAGCAUAGAUGGCGGGAGUACUUCGACAAGCUGUUCAAUGGGGAGAAUGAGAGUUCUACCAUUGAACUGAAUGACUCCUUUGAUGAGACUAGCAUGCGUUUUGUGCGGCGCAUCCAGGAGUCUGAGGUGAAGGAGGCUUUAAAAAGGAUGAAAGGAGGCAAGGCAAUGGGCCCUGAUUGUAUCCCCAUUGAGGUGUGGAAAGGUCUCGGGGACAUAGCGAUAGUAUGGCUAACCAAGCUUUUCAACCUCAUUUUUCGGGCAAACAAGAUGCCAGAAGAAUGGAGACGGAGUAUAUUAGUACCAAUCUUCAAGAACAAGGGGGAUGUUUAG
rnacentral:rRNA from 1 species